ACGAACGCUGGCGGCGUGCUUCACACCUGCAAGUCGAACGGAAAGGCCUCUUUCGGGGGGUACUCGAGUGGCGAACGGGUGAGUAACACGUGAGUAACCUGCCCUUGACUUUGGGAUAGCUUCAGGAAACUGGGGCUAAUACCGGAUAGGAGCUCCUGCUGCAUGGUGGGGGUUGGAAAGUUUCGGCGGUUGGGGAUGGACUCGCGGCUUAUCAGCUUGUUGGUGGGGUAGUGGCUUACCAAGGCUUUGACGGGUAGCCGGCCUGAGAGGGUGACCGGCCACAUUGGGACUGAGAUACGGCCCAGACUCCUACGGGAGGCAGCAGUGGGGAAUAUUGCACAAUGGGUGGAAGCCUGAUGCAGCAACGCCGUGUGCGGGAUGACGGCCUUCGGGUUGUAAACCGCUUUCGCUCAUGACGAAGCUUUGUGUGACGGUAGUGGGUAAAGAAGCACCGGCUAACUACGUG
rnacentral:rRNA from 1 species